rnacentral:rRNA from 1 species
AUUGAACGCUGGCGGCAGGCCUAACACAUGCAAGUCGAGCGGAUGAAGGGAGCUUGCUCCUGGAUUCAGCGGCGGACGGGUGAGUAAUGCCUAGGAAUCUGCCUGGUAGUGGGGGAUAACGUCCGGAAACGGGCGCUAAUACCGCAUACGUCCUGAGGGAGAAAGUGGGGGAUCUUCGGACCUCACGCUAUCAGAUGAGCCUAGGUCGGAUUAGCUAGUUGGUGGGGUAAGGCCUACCAAGGCGACGAUCCGUAACUGGUCUGUGAGGAUGAUCAGUCACACUGGAACUGAGACACGGUCCAGACUCCUACGGGAGGCAGCAGUGGGGAAUAUUGGACAAUGGGCGAAAGCCUGAUCCAGCCAUGCCGCGUGUGUGAAGAAGGUCUUCGGAUUGUAAAGCACUUUAAGUUGGGAGGAAGGGCAGUAAGUUAAUACCUUGCUGUUUUGACGUUACCAACAGAAUAAGCACCGGCUAACUUCGUG